CAGGCAGGGAGACUGCUUCACACAACAUGGUGGAAACUCAGUUACUUCCAGUCUUUUCUGAGCAGAGUAUCUGACCCCUGCUGCUUUAACUGAAUGCAUCGCCUACAUCUUUCCACCACUUCACAUCCUCAUGCACUGCAUCAAAAGUAAUGCCAGCUGUGGGGUCUUUCUGUGUUUGUUACACUACUGAAUUCAGCACUGCUGUCUCUGUGCACUCUCAUUCUCUUGCCCUCCCAUCUUCAUCGUAAUAUCUUUCCUUUGGAAAGCGCUGUCAGUCUUUGGGUAGACAGACACACACACUGGAAGAAUGGCAAAAACACUGGAGGAAAUAACCUGGAAGCCCAGAAAUAAACAAGGAAACCCCUAAAGCUGAAAAGAAAAAACUCUCUAUGAUGAACCAGCAAACAGGUGAACAAGCAUGCUCAGCGAGGAGAAGCAGCCCCCCACACCGCCACCCCCCAACCAGCUACAGUUUUGGAUUGUUGAAGGAGCCCUCAUUGACUGUAUGGUAUUGUACUUGACCCAGUGACUUUCCUUCACCAACUGGUUCCUCUUAUUAUCAUGUGUUUUUUGGACUGUUAGUCUGUGAGUUGUAGUUGUUGCUCUCUCGCUCUCCCCCUCCCCUCGCCAAUCUGUUCUCAGUUUCACAUUUGAUCUUCUUGAUGUUUGAUUACUUGAAGGGCAGUGUUCAGUCGCCUACAUUUUUCUAACAGUCAUGGAAAAUAAUGGUUGGGGGAAGAAGACAGCAAUGGGGAAGUUGUGAAAUCUGUGUGUGUAAAUCUUUUUUGGGGUUGGCAUGAUGCUAUACAUGGGCAACAUUUUGAGUAUUGUCACAGAUUUGGACAUUUCACUGCAAAUAUAAGAAACUAUUGGCUCCAAUUUUUUUUGCAGAACCUGCAUGUCUACUUACGUUUUUCUCAAAAUGUUGCUGAUGUGUCAUUGCCUGCAAGGAAAUUUCAAAAACCAUUCGGGGCUCUGUCCAUUCCACAGCCAUAUGACAGGCAUUUUUUUACGCUGUUUGUUGCACAAAACUUUUCAAGAAGCCUUCUGCACUGUGUAAAGAGAUAAUGUUCUUAGGAAGGGAGGAAAUAAAAGGUGGGGUGGUCCAAUGGUACAGUCCAAUGGUUUUGAAUCGUGACUUGUAAAUAAGUUUUCAUACAGCAAAAACUUUUUGAUAAUGUUUUAAAUGUAUCUGUAAAAAAAGAUGUACAUAAACCUCUGGGGGGGAAAAGGAGUGUAGACUAUAUAUGAAUUUAUUUGUACACAAGCGCACUGGAUUUAUUUACUACUUGAUUGUAACUAAAAAUUAAUAAUCUGCCAAAGUGUUUUUAUUUUACUUUUUCUCCUGUCUGUUCGGUCUGUUUUUUUGCAUAACAGCAUUGCAGAUUUUUAGUGUUCAUACUGUAUUUAAUUCUGUUUAAUAGAUUUUGUUGUUGUGUGAUUUAAAAAAAAAAAAAAGAGGUUAUCAUUUUAAUUUAUUGGUGCCUUGUUUUGUGCUCCUGUAUACUUUUACUCUUUCUGUUUUUCUGUGUUAUGUGUCUGCAGGAGGGCGGGGGGGUUAACAGCCGGGAUGGUGAGCGCAGGGUGGGGGGAGUUAAAAAUUUAGUAACUUCUGUACUUACAUGGAAUAUCUGUACUGUAUGCCAAAAUGGUCUCACUCACGUUUCUAUGAAAUCAAGCUGUUGAUAAAUAUCUCUAUAUAUUGAUAUAUUAAAUUUAUAAAAACUG